UGGGGAAUAUUGCACAAUGGGCGCAAGCCUGAUGCAGCCAUGCCGCGUGUAUGAAGAAGGCCUUCGGGUUGUAAAGUACUUUCAGCGGGGAGGAAGGCGAUAAGGUUAAUAACCUUGUCGAUUGACGUUACCCGCAGAAGAAGCACCGGCUAACUCCGUGCCAGCAGCCGCGGUAAUACGGAGGGUGCAAGCGUUAAUCGGAAUUACUGGGCGUAAAGCGCACGCAGGCGGUCUGUCAAGUCGGAUGUGAAAUCCCCGAGCUCAACCUGGGAACUGCAUUCGAAACUGGCAGGCUAGAGUCUUGUAGAGGGGGGUAGAAUUCCAGGUGUAGCGGUGAAAUGCGUAGAGAUCUGGAGGAAUACCGGUGGCGAAGGCGGCCCCCUGGACAAAGACUGACGCUCAGGUGCGAAAGCGUGGGGAGCAAACA
rnacentral:rRNA from 1 species